rnacentral:lncRNA from 1 species
GUCUUGCUCAGUUAUUUAAGGCUUUGUUAAGUUGCUGAAGCUGGCCUUGAACUUGUGAUCCUCAUGCCUCAACUUCCCAGGUCACUGGGAUUACAGAUGUGCGCCACCAUUCUGGCAUCUGAAUUGAUUUUUUAAACAACAAAUAAAUGUGUAGCAUAAGCAAAAGUUUUUUUUUAAAUAUUUUUUUAGUUGUUGAUAAACCUUUAUUUAUUUAUUUUUAUAUGUGGUGCUGGGAAUCGAACCCAGUGCCUCACACAUGCCAGGCAAGUGUGCUACUGCUGAGCCAUAGCCCCAGCCCCAAGCAAAAGUUUUUAAGAUCCUCCUAAUGAAACUGAGCUGGGGAUAUGAACAGGAAGGUGGAGAAUAUAGGAUGUAGGCCCAAUGGGGCUGUGCAGGGCUAAGAUGGGACCAGGAACUGAUGGGGAAGAGAAAAAGGUUCUGGAGAUGGAGACAGUUGCUAGCCCUGGCUUUGCCUGCAGUGAACAUAUGAUCAUAGAAGUCUCUGUAAUCUCCCUGCUCAACCUGUCCUGUUGAGAUUGAUUCCAGGAGCUUCUGCACUUGGCCACUUCAUGGACCUGGUAAAGUUCUAGGGACUCAUGAGGGAGGAAGCUGGGGCAGCCCCCAGGAGAAGCCCAUCUUGGCAUGUGAGAUGCCUCGAGUCUCUCCAG